CCCGGAAAGCAUGACUUUCAUUUUUGUAUUUGUAAGCUUUACUUUUUAAAAGUUGUCUCCCCACACCUGCAGCAACUCCAGUAAACCCCGGAUACGAAACAUUGGUCCUGACAGGUUGGAAUUCUUAUCUCCGUUUAAACUACUGUAGCGUCUGAGGUAAAAUGGAGAACUGCUGUGGUCUGCUAACCUCUAAAAAGGAACCAGUUCCUCUGAAGAGUGUGGAGGUGGAGCUGGAGGUGAGGGACCAUGUGGCUACAGUGGUGUCCACUCUGAACUAUGAGAACAAG